rnacentral:rRNA from 1 species
AUUAGAUACCCCUGUAGUCCCAGCCGUAAACAAUGUGCGUUAGGUGUGUCGGUAACCACGUGUUACUGAUGCGCCGAAGAGAAAUCGUGAAACGCACCACCUGGGAAGUACGGUCGCAAGGCUGAAACUUAAAGGAAUUGGCGGGGGAGCACCACAACAGGUGGAGCCUGCGGUUUAAUUGGAUUCAACGCCGGACAUCUCACCGGAUAAGACAGCUGAAUGAUUGUCAAUCUGAAGGUUUUACAUGACUAGCUGAGAGGAGGUGCAUGGCA